rnacentral:rRNA from 1 species
UACAGAGGUCUCAAGCGUUGUUCGGAUUCAUUGGGCGUAAAGGGUGCGUAGGUGGCGGGGUAAGUCAGGUGUGAAAUUUCGGAGCUUAACUCCGAAACUGCAUUUGAUACUGCCUUGCUUGAGGACUGGAGGGGAGACUGGAAUUCACGGUGUAGCAGUGAAAUGCGUAGAGAUCGUGAGGAAGACCAGUGGCGAAGGCGGGUCUCUGGACAGUUCCUGACACUGAGGCACGAAGGCCAGGGGAGCAAACGGG